rnacentral:rRNA from 1 species
UACGGAGGGUGCAAGCGUUGUCCGGAAUUAUUGGGCGUAAAGAGCUCGUAGGCGGUCUGUCGCGUCGGAUGUGAAAAUCCAGGGCUCAACCCUGGACCUGCAUUCGAUACGGGCAGACUAGAGUUCGGCAGGGGAGACUGGAAUUCCUGGUGUAGCGGUGAAAUGCGCAGAUAUCAGGAGGAACACCGGUGGCGAAGGCGGGUCUCUGGGCCGAUACUGACGCUGAGGAGCGAAAGCGUGGGGAGCGAACAGG